GAGCCACAGCAGUCUCUCCCUGAAACCAGGAGUAGGCACGAAUACACUCACACACACAGUCAAUCACCAGGAUACAACCACACUUUACACCAUCUUGUUCCUCCCAUCAGGAGUUGCACAUUGCCGUGGACUCACUCACAUGUGCACACUUUAAAACUUGACUGCACUGUCUCUUUUAAUACACAUCUAUGCCUGGUGAGCUUUAAUAGUCAGCAUUUUUCUAGGAACACACCUAAAACUCUGUGGAUAAAGCUAUGGCUCUACUCUUAUAUCGUUUUAUUGUCCUCUGUAUGUCUGUAUCGCUUGUUGCAGUGACUGAUGAAAGUUCAGUAACUGAAAACCCAGUAAAUACAACUAAUAUGAAUGUAACACAACAAACAGGUGAUGGUGCUAAACCAACACAGACGCCAGACAACGGGCUCACAAUGUUAGCCUUUGGUGUGAUGAGCUUCAUUCUCAUUUUGAUCAUUGUUAUGGUGAUCUUGGUAACAGCUGUUAACUUCAGAGGACAGUGCGCUAAUACAAAGGAAGAGGGUGUCAAAAACUACGUCUCUGUGAUAUCAGAAGGUCAUAUAAGCAACAUGGGAGAGAAGGAAAGCAUCAUGCUUGUCUCCAUGAGGACAAUAAACACAGACACUGGUAAAAUUUUAUCAAAUACAGUGAAAUACUUUCAGGGCCAUCUUGCACAGUCAAACUCCAUUUGUGUGUGUGUGUGUGUGUGUGUGUGUGUGUAUAUAUAUAUAUAUAUAUAUAUAUGCAUGUCUUUGGACUGGGGGAGGAGACCGGAGUACCCGGAGGAAACCACGGAAGCACGGAGGGAACAUGUAAACUCUGCACACACAGGGCCACGGCAGGAAUCGAACCCCCAACCCUGGUGGUGGACAACAGCAAAAGACCACAUCAGGUUCCACUCGUGUCUGCCAAUAACAGGAAUCUGUGGCUAUCAUGGGCAUAGUCUCACCUAAACUGGACAGUUGAACAUUGGAAAAAGACUCAGUGAUAUUUUUUCCCUAAUCUUCAUCUGUUCAGUUUGGACACAGAUUCACUGCGGAUCUCCUCCAUUUACAGUGCAGCACUGGACAACGAAGACCAAUAGCUCAGAAUCAGAGUAGGACUGAUUCAAUUCACUGAACAAAGCUGCCUUUUCAAGCUACUUUUCAGCAAUAACAGACCACAGUAUUAUUAAAAUGACACAGUUCUACAUUGUUGUACAAUUUGUCUCACAUUUGCAAUUUUUUUAUGCAAAAUUAAAUGAGCACAAAGAAUAAGCUAAUGAACGGUGAAUGUGUGAUGUCUGAAUAUUCUUUUUAAACAGCUCACUGGACAACUCCAAUGACCUCUAUUCCUCUAACCGCUUUAGUCUAGACUCAGUGUGAAAAUAAGAGAUAAU
ensembl:lncRNA